GACGCGCGCAUCUUGUACGCUCUUCGUUACCAGUCAGCAUUGCUUUGCUGUACUGCGGUUUGCACUGGUACGCCGGUAGGCCUGCGAGGUUUUCCUGACCAGUUCACCUCCGGAGCCUGUGCAUUGUUCUCGUUGUGACUAGAGGUUGGCAGCACGACGUGCCUGCUUCAAUCGUGGUUGCUUCACCACCACCACGUCACCGUCAGGGGCCACUUCAACCUCGGGAAUCUUAAACUUGCUUUAAGUAGAGUGGGCACGUAUGCGUGCUUCCAGACCGUGUGUUGGUGUGCGAGCUCAGGAGAAGCAGACUAGCUAGGACCGUAGACUGUUAGGUUUAGUAUUCACUGUCAACGCUGUGAUUCAGUCUAGAAUUCACUGUCAUCUGUCGUUUCUAACUUAGUCCAUUGAUGUUUCCUUGAGACGCCUUCAGGUGUCUGAAUUUGAAAAAGUUACCUGCUCAUAAACUUCCUAAAUUGUUAAUUCUAAUGUUAGUUAUUCUUA